GAUGAGCGCUGGCGGCGUGCCUAAUACAUGCAAGUCGAGCGAACGGACGAGAAGCUUGCUUUUCUGAUGUUAGCGGCGGACGGGUGAGUAACACGUGGAUAACCUACCUAUAAGACUGGGAUAACUUCGGGAAACCGGAGCUAAUACCGGACAAUAUUUUGAACCGCAUGGUUCAAAAGUGAAAGACGGCCUUGCUGUCACUUAUAGAUGGAUCCGCGCUGCAUUAGCUAGUUGGUAAGGUAACGGCUUACCAAGGCAACGAUGCAUAGCCGACCUGAGAGGGUGAUCGGCCACACUGGAACUGAGACACGGUCCAGACUCCUACGGGAGGCAGCAGUAGGGAAUCUUCCGCAAUGGGCGAAAGCCUGACGGAGCAACGCCGCGUGAGUGAUGAAGGUCUUCGGAUCGUAAAACUCUGUUAUUAGGGAAGAACAUAUGUGUAAGUAACUGUGCACAUCUUGACGGUACCUAAUCAGAAAGCCACGGCUAACUACGUG
rnacentral:rRNA from 1 species